GAUGAACGCUGGCGGCGUGCCUAAUACAUGCAAGUCGAGCGAACAGACGAGGAGCUUGCUCCUCUGACGUUAGCGGCGGACGGGUGAGUAACACGUGGAUAACCUACCUAUAAGACUGGGAUAACUUCGGGAAACCGGAGCUAAUACCGGAUAAUAUAUUGAACCGCAUGGUUCAAUAGUGAAAGACGGUUUUGCUGUCACUUAUAGACGGAUCCGCGCCGCAUUAGCUAGUUGGUAAGGUAACGGCUUACCCAGGCAACGAUGCGUAGCCGACCUGAGAGGGUGAUCGGCCACACUGGAACUGAGACACGGUCCAGACUCCUACGGGAGGCAGCAGUAGGGAAUCUUCCGCAAUGGGCGAAAGCCUGACGGAGCAACGCCGCGUGAGGGAUGAAGGUCUUCGGAUCGUAAAACUCUGUUAUUAGGGAAGAACAAAUGUGUAAGUAACUAUGCACGUCUUGACGGUACCUAAUCAGAAAGCCACGGCUAACUACGUG
rnacentral:rRNA from 1 species